rnacentral:lncRNA from 1 species
AAAAGAUCGAUGUAGGAUAAAAAACUUAAAUCAAAUAGUUUGGGGGUGGGGGAGUCAACAUUGCUGCAAGUUUUGUUAAUCUAAAAUCGAUUUUACAAAUAUCCCUAUUGGUCAAUCAAUUUUUCCCAAAUUAAGUUAAGAGGGGGAGUGUGGGGGUCAGUGAAAAAACUAUGUGAAUUAAGUUUUUUAUCCUUCAUUGAACUUUUGAUGUUGUCCCUUACUC